GAAUGGCUAAAGUGUUCCACUCGCCCACCGUCUUCUUUCUUCGCCUCUCCACCGUCUUCUCCUUCUUCCAUCCCAUGGCGACCACGGCAUUCCCGGGAGAUUCCAAUCCUCUGGGCCUCUCGUUAGAUGUGCCCUAGGGUUUCAGUUUUCCCGAGGAUGUCAUGACUGGAGGCUUUGGUAUUUCGAAAUUUAGAUCCGUCUCCAUGGCUUUAGUUCCUAUUUAAUGCGAUAUUAUUGUUUCUUUGAGCUUUUCCUUCUAUUAUCCGAUUGAGUUCGCCUUGUCGGUUAAUAAAAAUUGAAUAUUUCUUAAUUUCUUCGGGAAUAUGACAUUCUUAUGCAAAUGCUUUAAUUUUCUUGUUGAUGUUUGGUGUUUAUAAAUCAUUUCGCCAAAGAAAUUAAUUGCGAGGAUGAUAAGUUUUCCAUUUCAUCCUUUUCCUGUGAUAUUUGUGCCGCAUGUAACACUCUCAAAUGAUAGCAAAAACAAGGAAGCAUUUGCUGACGGUCCACCUGCUCAUUCAGGCUGUGAAAGGGGGGUUUCUUUUUAAAUUUUGAAAAGCUGGAUGAAAUCUCCAGCUCCAUAUACUCUUGUUGUUAAUGAAAAGGAUUGUUUUGAGAGAGCACUGAGCUCAUUUGGCAAAGUAGCAAUUUCUAUUCCAUAUACGUUAUCCAGUUAAUUUAUUUAGGUUCUUGCCUCAUAAUAGAUGUGUGUUAAGGCGACUUCCAUGUCUGAAUGGUAGACGGGUAUCCCCAUGUCAUUAAUAUAUAAACAAAGAAGCUGAAAGGAUAAGGCAAAACUUUCCCCCCUCUGUCUUGGUAGUGUGCAAGACUGUUUGUUUAAAAUUGCCUUCUUGAUCUUGCAAAAGCAAUGUGCUCAAUGGGAUUAUUUUAAUUUAAGUUGAUUAAAGUUUAAUGAUGGAUGCAUAGUCUUGUGUCCAUAACGGCAUCGGCCACACAUCC
rnacentral:lncRNA from 1 species